rnacentral:rRNA from 1 species
UUGGAGGGCAAGUCUGGUGCCAGCAGCCGCGGUAAUUCCAGCUCCAAUAGCGUAUAUUAAAGUUGUUGCAGUUAAAAAGCUCGUAGUUGAAUUUCGGGGUCAGCAAGUUGGUCGUGCCACCGGUAUGCACUGGCUUUACUGAUUCCUCCUUCUUGUAGAACCUUAAUGCCAUUAACUUGGUGUUGUGGGGAAACAGGACUGUUACUUUGAAAAAAUUAGAGUGUUUAAAGCAAGCUAACGCUUGAAUACAUUAGCAUGGAAUAAUGAAAUAGGACGAUCGAUCCUAUUUUGUUGGUUUCUAGGAUUGACGUAAUGAUUAAUAGGGAUAGUUGGGGGCAUUAGUAUUCAAUUGUCAGAGGUGAAAUUCUUGGAUUUAUUGAAGACUAACUACUGCGAAAGCAUUUGCCAAGGAUGUUUUCAUUAAUCAAGAACGAAAGUUAGGGGAUCGAAGACGAUCAGAUACCGUCGUAGUCUUAACCAUAAACUAUGCCGACUAGGGAUCGGAUGAUGUUAAUUUUUUAAUGACUCAUUCGGCGCCUUACGGGAAAC